AUCAUGAUGCCAAAGGUAAGCCGGCAUCGGGUACCUUGAGCAUUGAGAGUUUUUAGAAACGAAAAAUGCUGGUGAUUGUUUUAUUAGCAAUGCUAUUAGCGUCGCUGAAGUCUUACGGACAGAGGCUGCUGCAGUGCUAAAAGUGCUGUCUGCGCCUCGGAUACAUCUAGUGGAGACGUUGACUAUCUUAUUAAUAACAAAAAUAGCGUCG
rnacentral:misc_RNA from 1 species